GCUGGGUGCAGUGGCACACACCUGUAAUCCCAGUGCCUUGGGAGGCUGAGACAGGAGGAUUACAAGUUCAAAACCAGCCUCAGAAACGUAGUGAGGCCUUAAGCAACAUAGCAAGACCCUGUCUCCA
rnacentral:sRNA from 1 species